rnacentral:lncRNA from 1 species
CCUAGCGGGUUAUGGAAGGCUCACUAUUACCAAGCCCACCUCACGAUGAUACGAUGUUUGGCUAGCAACAAUAAUAAUGAGAGGGUACAAGUACCCAUUCACAACAACCUCUUGUGAUUACCCAUCUUUUUGGCCUUUAGAAAAUAAUACCUCACGAUGAUACGAUGUUGGCAGUAUGUUUCUUAGUUAAGUUCUUUCCCACCAUGCUGGUUUAGCUAGGGGUUCAAGCAUGACCUCACGAUGAUACGAUGUUUGGCCAUACUCGUUGCCUACCUUAACCUCAUCAAAUGUUUAAAUAAACUCCUCCUGAAUAUAAGCAUGCACUUUGUCACUUCCCCAUGAUAGGGUGAAGGCGGUGUACAAGUCAUAAACGCUUGGAGCCUACCACGGUGGAAGGCCACGAAAAAGUGUUCUAAGCACUCUUACGCUUUCAACUUAAUAUUUGUUUGGUUGAGGGAUUUUAAGGUCUCAUCAAUUUUAUUUAUUUAAUCACAAUCAAAUAAAUUGUCCUAUUAUAACUACUAGUCCAAAGUUAAUGAAAUUAGUAGCAUAUAAUAUCCCCACUAUUCGUUUUCAUAAAACAAAUCAAUAUCAAAACAUUUUUCAAAAUAUUGGAGAUAUAUAUAACAACUAAUUGUAUUCAUUAUAGUCUAGUAGCGUAUGAUACUCCCACUAUUUGUUUUGAGAAAAACAAAUCAAUAUCAAAAACUAAUUUUUCAAAUAUUGGAAGUAACUACUACUACUAAGGUUUUUGCAUUCCUUUGAAUUUGGACUUUAUAGUUAUCUUAGGCUCUUGGAUGACUAUGGACUUAUUAGGUUAUUGCAACAACGAGCCAUCAUUGUUGAAUAUAAACUCGGGGAGGUUGUGUCAAUUUAAUUACGUGCUUAUCAAUCCAAUUAAAACCAUUUUCAUUGAGCCAUUAGAAAUGAAAGACAAUCAUUCAUUGCUAAUUUGGGCAUUGGACCCUUUUAAUCUUUAAUCUCAUGUCAAAACCCUCUUUUAGUUAUGUCUCCUUACCAAUAGUUAAAGAAACUCUAGUCUAGCACUAGAGGGAAUCCACUAACGAAUAGCGAUUAAGAAGUAAUAAGAAUUACAAACCGAUUUGUACAAAUUCCUAUAAAUUACAUAUACUAAAAGGGGAGAGAAAGAUUAACGUCAAAUGUGACAAGGUCCAAUUAAACAGUAAUUAAAACACAUUCCCAAGGUUCAAACAAUUUGAUUUUUGGCGCCUUAUCAUAUAGCUCAAUUAUCGUUUAAGGCAUAAGUCCAAAGUCAUCCAUUUCAUAACUACUUAAACACAUUUAAAUAAUCAUGAUGGAAUGCAACAUAAACAUUUAGAUUUAGUGCAUAUGGGCAUAAUAGUAUUAUGAGUUUAAACAACUAACAAAAUUAAAAUCAAAUAUUUUAACUUUCUAGUUAGUAGGGGCCUAAAUGUAAAUAUGAAAAGUUAGGGGUAAAACCGUAAAUAUUUCAAAAUAAAAUUUAAUAUAUGAAAAGUUAGGGGUAAAACCGUAAAGAUUCUAGCAUGGGAUUUCAUAAUGACUAUCAUGCAUAUACAAAUCAAAUUUAAUAUACGAAAGCAGCGGAAGCAUUUAUAACAAUUUAUCAAAGCUAUAGUCAUGCAAAUCCCCUUCAAGGUUCAUAGGUUUAUAUAUAAUGCAUCAAAACAAAUUUUAGAAUCAAGAACAAAGUGAAGGUUAGUCUUAUACCUCUUGAUCUAGACUUGAGACCAAGGAUGGACCACCUCCAAGCCCUUUGCUCCUUGAAAUCCUUGAGCCGAGCUUCCCUCCUUGCCUCCUCCACUUUGUUAUAAUGAGUGCUCCUAGGUUCUCUUCAAGUUCCCAAAGUAGGAAACCCCUAAAGAUCCUCACCCACUAGUGUAGUGAGAAGGAUGAAGGAAUAACC